rnacentral:rRNA from 1 species
GACGAACGCUGGCGGCGUGCUUAACACAUGCAAGUCGAACGCUGAAGCUCAGCUUUUGUUGGGUGGAUGAGUGGCGAACGGGUGAGUAACACGUGAGUAACCUGCCCCCUUCUUUGGGAUAACGCCCGGAAACGGGUGCUAAUACUGGAUAUUCACUGGUCUUCGCAUGGGGGUUGGUGGAAAGGGUUUUUCUGGUGGGGGAUGGGCUCGCGGCCUAUCAGCUUGUUGGUGGGGUGAUGGCCUACCAAGGCUUUGACGGGUAGCCGGCCUGAGAGGGUGACCGGGCACAGUGGGACUGAGAUACGGCCCAGACUCCUACGGGAGGCAGCAGUGGGGAAUAUUGCACAAUGGGCGCAAGCCUGAUGCAGCGACGCCGCGUGAGGGAUGGAGGCCGUCGGGUUGUGAACCUCUUUCGCUCAUGGUCAAGCCGCAACAAUGGUUGUGGUGAGGGUAGUGGGUAAAGAAGCGCCGGCUAACUACGUG